AACGCUGGCGGCGUGCUUCAUACAUGCAAGUCGAAACGAGAAUCUGGCUUCGGUCAGAGGAAAGUGGCGGACGGGUGAGUAAAAUGUAGAGAAUCUGCCCUUUAGCGGGGGACAACAGUUGGAAACGACUGCUAAUACCCCAUAUGCGCGUACUUGAGAUAGUAUUCGUGAAAGCUCCGGUGCUAAAGGAUGAGUCUGCAUCUGAUUGGCUAGUUGGCGGUGUAAUGGACCACCAAGGCGACGAUCAGUAGCUGGUUUGAGAGGAUGAUCAGCCACAAUGGGACUGAGACACGGCCCAUACUCCUACGGGAGGCAGCAGUAGGGAAUUUUGCGCAAUGGGCGAAAGCCUGACGCCAGCAACGCCGCGUGAUUGAAUAAGCCCUUCGGGGUGUAAAGAUCUGUCAGUGGGGACGAAACUUGACGGUACCCACAGAGGAAGCAUCGGCUAACUCCGUGCCAGCAGCCGC
rnacentral:rRNA from 1 species